rnacentral:rRNA from 1 species
UGCGAACUCCUACGGGAGGCAGCAGUGGGGAAUAUUGCACAAUGGGGGAAACCCUGAUGCAGCGACGCCGCGUGAGUGAAGAAGUAUUUCGGUAUGUAAAGCUCUAUCAGCAGGGAAGAAAAUGACGGUACCUGAGUAAGAAGCCCCGGCUAACUACGUGCCAGCAGCCGCGGUAAUACGUAGGGGGCAAGCGUUAUCCGGAUUUACUGGGUGUAAAGGGAGCGCAGACGGCUCUGCAAGUCUGAAGUGAAAGCCCGCGGCUUAACCGCGGGACUGCUUUGGAAACUGCAAGGCUUGAGUAUCGGAGGGGCAGGCGGAAUUCCUAGUGUAGCGGUGAAAUGCGUAGAUAUUAGGAAGAACACCGGUGGCGAAGGCGGCCUGCUGGACGAAAACUGACGUUGAGGCUCGAAGGCGUGGGGAGCAAACAGGAUUAGAAACCCUUGUAGUCC